GAUGAACGCUAGCGGCAGGCUUAAUACAUGCAAGUCGAGGGGCAGCAUGAUUGUAGCAAUACAAUUGAUGGCGACCGGCAAACGGGUGCGGAACACGUACACAACCUUCCAACAAGUGGGGGAUAGCCCAGAGAAAUUUGGAUUAAUACCCCGUAACAUAGCGAUGUGGCAUCACAUUGCUAUUAUAGAUUUUUCGCUUGUUGAUGGGUGUGCGGCUGAUUAGAUAGUUGGCGGGGUAACGGCCCACCAAGUAUACGGUAAGUAGCUGAUGGGAGAGCAUGAUCACCCACACGGGCACUGAGAGACGGGCCCGACUCCUACGGGCGGCAGCAGUAAGGAAUAUUGGACAAUGGACGCAAGUCUGAUCCAGCCAUGCCGCGUGAAGGAUUAAGGUCCUCUGGAUUGUAAACUUCUUUUAUAAGGGACGAAAAAAGGCUUUUCUAAGUCGUCUGACGGUACCUUAUGAAUAAGCACCGGCUAACUCCGUGCCAGCCGCCGCCGUAAGAC
rnacentral:rRNA from 1 species